AACUGGACACAACAGUAGGGCCCCUUGGUACCUCCAGGACCCUGGCAGCCAUGGCCCAAAUGCCAAAGUCAUCCCAGGCCUGUUGAUGGCUUAGCGGGAAGCAGCAGUUGCAAAGCACAGCUGGAUGCCUUUUCACCAGUUGUGCAAGAAUAUCUACAUCACCCUCAGUGAUGGGGAUGUCUGCUGACCAGAAGGGACUACUGAUACACAGCACGUAUUGCUCACCAUCCUCAGCAAAAAAAUGUACUCCAAAGCACACAGUCGCCUCUCACUGGAGAUGGAUUCCCCCAUACAGAAGAAAAUAUGGAAAUCUCAGAGGGAACCACAGAAAGAAACACAAACCACAGAGAAAAAGUUCUGUUCAUCUCUAAACUGGUUGUCCCUCAAUUAGGUAAUUAGAUCUGUAACAAACUGAAAAUGGCUCUACAAAUCUAGCGAGAUAACUCUUCCCUAUGUCUCAGACUCUGAAAGAAGACAGCUUCAGUAAAGGCAGUGGAAAAUUAUUAAUAAAAAAGGUGAUUUAUGUGCUA